GAUGAAGAACGCAGCGAAAUGCGAUAAGUAAUGUGAAUUGCAGAAUUCAGUGAAUCAUCGAAUCUUUGAACGCACAUUGCGCCCCUUGGUAUUCCGAGGGGCAUGCCUGUUCGAGCGUCAUUAUAACCCUCAAGCUCAGCUUGGUGUUGGGGCCUGCUGCACUGGCAGCCCUUAAAAUCAGUGGCGGCGCCAUCUGGCUCUAAGCGUAGUAAUUCUUCUCGCUAUGGAGUCCUGGUGGAUGCUUGCCAUCAACCCCCAAUUUUUCUAUGUUUGACCUCGGAUCAGGUAGUGAUACCCGCUGAACUUAAGCAUAUCAAUAAGCGGAGGA
rnacentral:misc_RNA from 1 species